rnacentral:rRNA from 1 species
GACGAACGCUGGCGGCGCGCUUUAUACAUGCAAGUCGAACGUGAAGCUCGGAGCUUGCUCCGGGUGGAAAGUGGCGAACGGGUGAGUAUCACGUGAGAAACCUGCCCCGAAGACCGGGAUAACACCGGGAAACCGGUGCUAAUACCGGAUGCCCUCACCGGAUCGCAUGGUCUGGUGAGGAAAUGGAUUCCGCUUCGGGAUGGUCUCGCGGCCUAUCAGCUUGUUGGUGGGGUAACGGCCCACCAAGGCUUCGACGGGUAGCUGGUCUGAGAGGAUGUCCAGCCACACUGGGACUGAGACACGGCCCAGACUCCUACGGGAGGCAGCAGUAGGGAAUCUUGCACAAUGGACGAAAGUCUGAUGCAGCGACGCCGCGUGUGGGAUGACUG